UCUAAUCGUACCGGCAGAUCUACACGUGGUUUCAUUUGGCUGCCGCCUUCGACCAUAACACAAUCGUUCUACUUCUCCCACGACUGUUUGCCCAAGUGGCGUCUGUUCUACUCGAGAAAGUACAAUAAUAUCGACCCAGUAAAACGAUCACGAUGCCAAAGAUCAACGCAGUACCUUCCUCAUAAGAAUGCCAAACUGGUUAAAGGAAAGGAAAAGGAAAAAUCAUUUAAAUUUCAUUCGAGGUAAACGGAAGUUCUUGCUAUCUAUAUCUAUAAAGGAAGAGUGUCUUACGUCAGCUGAAGACGUAACAUCAAUUUUGCAUUAUAUCUUACGAAUUAAUGCAAGACGGACAACCUUGGGUCGAUGAUUAACCAUCCGGUAUUUGUCAAAACGCCAGAUUACCAUUCUAGAAAUGCUCAAUGUUCGACGAAUGGACAAAAAACACUGAACAUCCCGUUAAUCUACAAUCAUACGUACGUAGUAGUCGAGACGACGUGUUUGAGAAUUCGUUGUAGUUUUUUUUAGGCGUAAAGAAGAAAAAAACAAUUUCCUUUGAUGCUCACUGUUCUUCUCAUCUAUUAUGGCUAAAGUAUCAUAAACUGGCUCAUAAGCGAAGUCAUUAUCGAACCUAACUCAUCAAAGAGUUAUAACGUUUUAUAUUUUAAGUUUCCUUUUGUCGACAAGCAGAUUGCUCCUUAUAGGCAAAUAAAAAAGGAUGACGAUGAUUUAUUAAUAAAUUCUCUUAUUAAACCUUGGUAAGUACGUACUUGCCUCCAAACAAGUAUCCAAUUGCAGCUGCAGUUGCAAUAUAGGUAAUAGCUUCAGAAAUAUCGUGUGAAUCGUUUCGAGGAUGAUUCUUAAUUGCCUACAACAUUCCCCCAGUUAAUAAUCAUGGACUAUGAUCCUGUGGAUAAUACACUUGGAUUCUUUGGAUUCUUUAUUGCUCUCACGAGUGAGGAGAUGACCUCAUGGAAUUGUUACAUCUAAUUACAAAGCAAUUGGACUUAAAUUCUGAAGAAGUUGAAUAGCCAGAAUUACAAGAGAUGAGAAACUGGGACUUUUUGAUGAGUCAGACUACCUUCUGAAUCUGCAGGCUCUUCGAGUGCGAAGAAUAAAAUAGAGAUGGAUAUUUUUAAGAACGAUUUCCUUAAUAAUAUCAACUCAAUUAUUAAUAGCUAUACAAAACCGACCAAACCUACCUUCUUCAAACUUCAAACGAAAUUGAUCAUUACAAAUUCAUAUGGAAUCCAUGACUAGUACUUUGCUGUACUUAUAAGUAUACAUAUACACUGUAUACAGGACACUCAUACAUGACAGAUAUACAUGAAAGGAAAAGCAGUAGUGGUAAUGGCGUAUGCCGCUACAUGAACACGUUAGCUGUUGCAAGCAUUGAACUCUCCGUCGACCGGUCUCCACGUAGGAGUCUCCAGUUAAGGAUCCGCUGAGCGACCAAGUCCGUCCAAUUUUAUCCUGAGAAGUUAUUGUAAAUGUAGUACUGCAUGAGUGGAAUGACAACGUUAUGGACAGUGAUGAAAAUCUGAGUGACAUUUCCUUUUAAAACUAUGGCAUCAUCAU